UUCUCUCUCUUUAGUCUCUCUCUCUCUUCCCCUUGUAGUGUUAGCUCGCAACACUCCAAACCCUCUCAAUCCCCUUCCCAAAAAGCUCUCCAAAUCUAACCCUAACCCUAACCCUAACCAUCACUAUUGCAUUAAUCGCACCAUCUCCCAUGACUUCCCUUCUCCGCCGCCUCCCUUCUUCGUCUCCGGCAGUGACGCCACCACCUACACCCGCCUCCCUCCCACUACCUCUCUUUCGCCGAUGAUGAAAUUGAUGAACUUCGACAGGAACUAUUGCAUCGUCUCCUUCGCGUCCGUCAAGAUCUUUGUGAUCUGAAGAGAUCGAAUAGGCCUUGUUCUUUUACCGAAAGCUCAAUGUUCGAUCUCGAGUCAACGAAGGGGUUUUCGAAGGCAAAGGUGUUGCCGGCAUUGGAGAAGGUGAUGACAGCAGCUUCGGUGCCACACAAGUUGCAAAUCACUUCUUCUUUCUCAUCCUUAGUUAUCGAUGCCGACGACAUAGCGCCGAUUACCAGAGUACGAGAUUUCUUUAGAGGAACGUGGGUGGAGUCGAAAAAUUCACCAAAUCUAUGUCUUGGUGGUGGCAUAGAUCUCUUCACAGGCCAUCGCCAGCGAGUUUAUGCCACGGAGGGGCUGUUUUUACUCUCUCCCCAAUUUGUACAGAUAAAGAUCAAAUGAAUAUUUUGAUCCUUCGGCAUAACCUUAUCGUUAGAGCAUCUCUAAUGGUAAUAGGUAUUCUCCUUUCCGAUGUAUCCAAAAAAAAAUGGUAAUAGGUAUUUUAUCUAUCUAAAUGAACUCCACCACUGUAGAUUUUCCAUGAAUUGGUUCAUUAAUGGUGGAAUCAUGGAAACCAAGACUGGUUUCUUGGUGAUGGUACAAGGAUUUGGGUGAAAUUUUGGGAGAUGAUCUCAGAAAUCACGAGUAAGUUCCGCCAUCAAUACUACCAGUAUAUUGGGUCCAAGAGAAGUGAGAAAAACAUGGUACAUGAGCUCUCAAGCUAUGGAGAAGAGGAAAGAAACCCUUGCAAGCAUGUGUGAUGAGAGAGCUAGAAUGUUACAAGAUCAGUUUAAUGUCAGUAUGAAUCAUGUACAAGCUAUGUCCAUUGUGAUUUCAACUUUCCACCAUGGAAAAAGGCCAUCUGCUAUUGAUCAGGUAUAGUUUGAUCUUCCUUCAUUUGUAUGAAGUUUAUGAUACCAAAUUGGGGCAAAGCUUUGAUCAACAAGAUGGAAUGAAUUGGUAAGACUUGUGUUACCUAUUUGAAAUGCACUAAUCUGUGAGCAUUUUAUUA